CCGAGAGCUCCUGCAGUCAGGGAGAGGGGCUGCUCUGGAUUAGCGGCGGACGGGUCAUUAAUGCCUAGGAAUCUGCCUGGUAGUGGGGGAUAACGUCCGGAAACGGGCGCUAAUACCGCAUACGUCCUGAGGGAGAAAGUGGGGGAUCUUCGGACCUCACGCUAUCAGAUGAGCCUAGGUCGGAUUAGCUAGUUGGUGGGGUAAAGGCCUACCAAGGCGACGAUCCGUAACUGGUCUGAGAGGAUGAUCAGUCACACUGGAACUGAGACACGGUCCAGACUCCUACGGGAGGCAGCAGUGGGGAAUAUUGGACAAUGGGCGAAAGCCUGAUCCAGCCAUGCCGCGUGUGUGAAGAAGGUCUUCGGAUUGUAAAGCACUUUAAGUUGGGAGGAAGGGCAGUAAGUUAAUACCUUGCUGUUUUGACGUUACCAACAGAAUAAGCACCGGCUAACUUCGUGCCAGCAGCCGCGGUAAUACGAAGGGUGCAAGCGUUAAUCGGAAUUACUGGGCGUAAAGCGCGCGUAGGUGGUUCGGCAAGUUGGAUGUGAAAUCCCCGGGCUCAACCUGGGAACUGCGUCCAAAACUACUGAGCUAGAGUACGGGAGAGGGGGGUGGAAUUUCUCGCGAGGAGGCCAAAUGCGAAUAUAUAUCAAGGAACGCCUGGACCACAGGGGUACCCCUGCCUGUUUGCUCCCCACGAUUGUCCCACUCAGGGGCAGCAACCGGGCAUGAGGUCCCCUGUUGCCCG
rnacentral:rRNA from 1 species